GCUGAGCCCGGUGCUGCCCAUAACCGGCAUUCGAGGCGUUCCCCCACAUUGGGACUGAACCAAGAAAGCACUUCAACACAAAUCAACCCUCCUGCUCCUCCUGCUCCAUUAAUUAAACCACUCUAAGGGUCUAACGAAGCUGUACAGAAGCCCACCAGAGGACUUCCCGCACUGCACCUGUUCCUAUCCCUGCAAACCCUGAGCUGAGGGAGAACCGCAGCGCUUCUGUAAUAAAACCCGAAGGCAGGACGGCAGCUGCUGCGUUUGUGUCUCUUUUUUUGCGCCCACCUCGAUAGAUCCGCGUCAUUAUUUUAACAGCGCAACGCUAUCUGAGGAAAGCACAAAAGCCCCCCCACAGAGCCGUUUGAUAUUUUAUUUAUUAUUUUUUUUUCAAUCAGCCUUUGUUCGCCUAGGCUGCACCAUAGACCAGGCUUUGAAGCUGUUCCGUCAGCCGGAAAGAGGCUGGGCGGGCCCUUUCUAAGAAAAAGCCCUCUCCUCCGGCGAAGAGCCCGCUCUCUCACGCUCCCCCCUCAGCCCUGAGGCCGCUCCGCCCUAACGAUGAGGGCUGGGUACAAAAUGGCGGCCUCGGUUUCACAGAGCGGAGGGAUGCGCAGCGCGCAUGCGCAGCGCUCUGCGCGCCGUCGCCUGAGAGAGGGACGCGGAGCCGCGGGCAUGGCGGCGGGCGCGCUCGGGGUCGCGGUGCUGUUGGUGGGGCUCUGCGCGGCUCGGGCGCAGGACUCCUGCACGCUUCCAGACAGAGUUCAGUAUGCAGAGCUCAUGGAGGACUUCAGCUCGAUGAGCAGCUUUCCUGUUGGAACCACUGUGAGGUACACCUGUCUCCCUGGCUAUAUGAGGAUCCCUGGGAAGCCCGUUGAGCGAACGUGUGGUGAAAACUUAACGUGGUCACAAAUAGAGACGUUCUGCACAGCGAAAAGAUGUAUUCAUCCAGGAGAAUUAGCAAAUGGCUUUGUUCAUGUGACAGAUCUUACAUUUGGUUCAAUAGCUACUUUUUCUUGUGAAAAAGGGUACAGGUUAUAUGGAAAUAGACAAAUUUCCUGUGUAAUUAGAGACAAAGGUGUUGACUGGGAUGGAUUUCUUCCUGUAUGUGAGAAAGUUCCUUGUAAACCUCCUCCAAGUAUAGCCAAUGGGCACUACACUGAAGCAGACAACUAUGUUUAUCAAACAACAGUAACCUAUAGUUGUAAUAAUGCACAGAAAGGAGAAGAUCCCUUCUCGCUGGUUGGUUCACCUUCUAUUUUCUGCACAGUUGAUGAUAACUCAAAUGGCAUUUGGAAUGGACCACCUCCACAAUGUAAAGUGGUCAUCUGUGAAAACCCAGAACUAGAAAAUGGAAGAAAAUUAUCUGGGUUUGCAUCUCAAUAUACCUAUGGGAGCACAGUUAUGUUUGAAUGUGAUCCAGGCUAUGCCUUGUCUGGGGAGGAUGUAAUUACUUGUCAAGAAAAUAACACCUGGUAUCCAUCAAUACCAACUUGUAAAAAACUUAGUGAAGAUUCAUGUGGUGCCCCAAAGAUCUCCCAUGGAGAAGUGGUUCCACUGAAAUCUGUGUACUUAAGAGGAGAGUCUGUUCAGAUAAGGUGCAGUCCUCACUGUGCUUUUCCUGAUGGUGGUACAGAGGUCACAGUAAUGUGCCAAGGACAAAAUACAUGGAGUUCUGAACCGAACUGUGCAUGUGGUCCUGAACCUUCUGAUUCCUCUCCAGUCAUCAGCCAUGGUAGAAUAAUUGAAGGGAAAAAAUCUGUAUAUUCCAUAGGGGAUUCAGUUACAAUUGAAUGUUAUGCAGGCUACACAUUACAUGGUGCAGCUCGUAUUGAGUAUAUUGGAGAAGGCAGAUGGAGUCCAGAAGUGCCAAUCUGCAAGUUAAGUGCCUAUAUUAUUGCCAUCAUCUGUGUGAUCGUGGCAGUUGUGGUGUUCCUGGCAGCCUUCUGGAUCUUCAAGAAAUUCAUUUCACAGGAAGGCUUGUGCCUUCAUCAGCUCAACCCCACCGAGCAGAGACAGCAACCAACAGCAAAAUCGGACUGCGUCACAGAUGUAACAUGACCAUCGGCAAAACAAGUGCAGAAAGAUAUCAUGGCUGUCUCAUCGUUCAGACAGCCUUCUUUCAGGAUCACAGAAGAAUGAUCUGGGACCACCAUUGCUGCUGCUAUUCCAGUUGCUCCCCUGCUCUGCGGAACUGGCGCUGCAGGAGACAAGGAUGCUCCAGCCAGCGAGGGCUCAGUGAGUCAGGAGGGGCUGUGACGACUGCAGCAGGAGCUGAACCCCCCCUGGAAUCCAGCAGGAAAGGAGGGGAGGCGAGGAAGGUAGAGAUGGGGAAGAGGAACAAACUGGGGAGUGGCACCUACUGUCUGUUUGCUUCUUCUCUCCCUGCUCUUGCCACAGCACUGCUGUUGGAAAUGGCGUCCUCUCCUCUCGGUUACUGCGCAAAGAAAUGGUCGGGCAUAAAACCGCAGCGCUUGCGGCCUGUAUCAGCCAGCAGCCCCAACCUGGGCAGAUGCAAUGUGCCAGCACAGCCCCUGCCCUCAGCCUGACAACUAGAGGAGAGGCACUGCUGUGACCGUGGCAGUGCAGUGCUCAAGCUGGAUCUAAACCCAGCGGUUGUUGCUAAACAACCGGUCCUGACGCUUAGUAUGUCAGUGAGUGACGAAUAUAGAUUAAAUGCUUAUGCUACCACAUCCUUAAACUUGGUUAAGCCUUGGUGUGAUGAAGGGCUAUGGGAUAAUGUGCCCUGCCGUACAAGAAAGCAAAGUUACUGCUCUGUACUUAAAUGGGUGUCUUCUACAGCUAGAAGGACUGAGUUCAGAGCCAGCUGUGUCCUCAGAACUUCCCAGCACAUCUUCACUGAUGGGCAGUUAAGAAGAGAGGUGGAAAAACAGCACAGUAACUGGUGCAGGGAAUGAAGCAUUCUCCUCUCGGCAUCUCCUUGGCCACUCUGGCACAGCUGCCUGCCCAGACUCCGUCCAUGCUUCCCUCCCUGUCCUGUCCUCCUUCCUGCCCACAUCCUAACUCUGCCCUUCCUUCUGCAUCAUUUCCAGGUGCCCCCGAGGAGCUCGCGGUGCAGCUCGUGCUUAACCACUGCCUAAGGAAGAGGAAAAGAAGGAAGGAAAGGAAGAAAUAAAAGCCCCGAAGCCAAGCGGUUUCCGUGGUGGAGCUUGGCAGCUCUGACACGUCAUCGUGACAACGGCACAGCAAAGCGAAACCUUCCCGGCGCCGGCGCGGGGCAGGCAGGAGGCGGGGACCGAACCCGGGGACCGAACCGGGGCAGCAGACAGACCGCGCCGCGGGGCCGGACCGGGCCAGGAGCCCCCGGCACUUUGAGACGAGCGCAGCCAACAUUCGGAUUUGACACCAGGCUCUCGGCCAAUCCGAGAAGGCUUUUCACCUGCCAUCGCUUCCUCCGCCAAUCAGACGGCGUGUUUGGGCCGAGAACCCUCCCCGGCCAAUCGGGAGCCGGCUGAGCCACUUAGUUAAUGAUGCAGCAGUACAGGGAAGACUAUCACAUGUGAGCUGGAAGGCUGCCAACAUGGAGACACGGAGAGAGCAAGGUAAACAACUUUCCAACGCCAAAAUGAUGACAUUUAAUCCCUAAAUGCUAGCUUCCCGUCUCGAUUCAUCCUUAACCCCUUUCAGCUGGUGUGGAAGCGUCUGGAAGGCACCGUGUACCUGUCCCCAGUGCUUUUAAAAACUGGCCGACGUGCCCUGCAAUGAUCACUGCGUCACCAUUUGCCACUUUCUGAACUACGCAGCGACAAAGCCCUUAUCCCAGCUCACAGGGUGGCUGUUAACCCCUGCACCCAGCCCUGCCUCUACGCCAGCCCUCGGGGGGACGGCAGGGAAUAAAAAGCCUGAGCAAAACACGAAAACAGCAGUCUGCAAAGUUGUCAUCUCUCUCCCACGACUGCUGCCCUCCUCUGCAUUACAGCAAUGCUGGCAAGAGUGGCAUUCGUACAACCUGUGCCGACGUUCCAUUGAGAAAACAGCUCUGACGCAGAGCAGAGCAAUCAUACCCAGCCGAAAUAAUAAUGAAGGCACUUGGGGAGCUGAACUUAGGGACGAUGGGGGAAGGGGACGCCCUGCAAAGCAUUACAAAACGUAGAUGCAGCUCCAACCCCAUCCUGAUCAAAGGGUACGUACGUGGGAAAGACGAACCGGACCGAGAAGCUCUGCCCGUCCACCAGCUGCGCAGCGUUCAGCCCUCUGCUUGCUGUGUAGCGCCGCAGAAUAGAAGGUUCCAGAAAUUUCCUUUCCGUUAACCCUUUCGGUGUCUGCCCACUCUCCCUCCCCGCGGGAUUAAGUGCGCCGGGUCUCCAGCAUCGUCAAUGGGCGAAGCCUCCUACGCCAACCGAGCCCAAAUACGUUCUCUAAAUGACACCGUCUGGUGACAGGAGCUCCGUCCCUGGUGUUGCGUCUGAAGAGCCUGAGCUAUUUUGGGAUUUGUCUGUACUACACUGAAAGUGACACCUGUUACACACAGACAUAAAUGAGAAGAAUUGCAAGCUCCUGGUUUCUCAGAUACAAUUCUACCAUGGAAAAAAAGAUAGGAGCUGGGGAUGUGGGAGGGCAGUGUGGGUGCUGGCGUGGGGUGAAGAGCUGACCCUUGUGAACUGAAUAGUCAGUAGUACAGGGAGCACAAGGCUUGUAUCUGAUGCAGACCUCCCUGUGACCAAGAACAGUAAUGCUCGAUCAACGAAAUGCUGCAAGAUGGGGUUUCUUACACGCCCAAACACAUGGGACUUCAAGCCUUACAGAUCUGUUCUGUGGCCAAAGCUGCAAGCGUUAAGUGUUUCAGUUAAUUGUAAGAGUGCUUUGGCUACUUAAAUGAGUCACUCAGCAGCGAUGCUCUGAAGUAGGCCAGCAUUUUGUGCAAGGUUACGCAGUCAGUUUCCGUUACCCCUGAGUUAUCUCAGAAGCUCAACCAGCACACAGAGGCAGAGAGGAUUUCCGUGUUCCCUGUUGCUGUGUCUGCCUGCAGCCCAUCUACGGUGCCCAUGGAGGUGCCAGCAGUGUGCAACCACCCCGCAGCCCCCAGGCACUGAGCGUGGCAGUGGGAUGGACAGAGCCUGAGAAGUUGGGACAGCUGAUGGGCAUGCUUGGCUCCCAGCAACGCUGGUAUAUUAAGAAAGUAAAAUGGAGCUUUGGUUUAUUUCAAAUUAUAUGCUUUUGGUUGCUUUCAAGGGAAAGGCAGUGUUUAUUUAAUGGGUUACUUUCAUUUGAAAAUGACCAGCCGUGGGACAUUUCUGUCUUUACCUGAUCAUAAAGUAUUUACUCUGUGGAGGCACUUCAGCUCCCAAGAAGGAUCAAAGCCACUGUGCCCUGCGAAGCACUCAGGUAGGCAACUAAAAACACACAGAGUGAUGGAAAGCUUGGUUGGGAUGUGGCAUUGCCUGUGAGCUGAAGUAAGUGAAAAAAAAGCUGUGAUUCCAUGGUAGAAAUCAAGUCUCCUGUUUUAAGUGGAGCCUAUGGACGUACGUGGUACCACCUUAUUAUUAUUAUUUUUUUAAUCAUCAGAAUUUUGUUUUUGUAAAGACUGUGAGGAAGCAAUGUCCAGUGCUAGAAAGGGAGCUUAGCAGCUGGAAAGAGCCUAUGGCAGCAGUGGGAGGCAGCCGGAGGGGGUCUGUGUGUGUGUGUUGUAGUGGCUGUGUCCAUUCUGAAGUGGGACAGGUGUUUGGGAAAGGAGAGGAAAGCAAUUCAUCAGUGAGCAGAAGUGCAGGCUUGCUGUUGCUUGUAUGCCAACAGAACAUAGAGCUGCAUCCUCAGUUCUUUGGCAUCUUCUGUGUUAUUUUCUGCUGUCAUGCUACAAUGGCCUUAAUAGCAAUAACAUAUGGAGAGUGAAGUUAUGAAAAUCUAACGCUUGCAAAUGUCAUCCAAUGCCUUGUGGUGUUGUGGGUGAUAAAAUAACCUUGGCUGUCCCUGGAGAAAGGUCCUUGAUCUUUUUAAUGAUGAGCAGAGCCCCAGUGGUGCUGCGCAGUGCUUCAACUUCCCUCUGGUGAGGGCUUGGCUCCAGUUCCACUUUAAAUGCCAUCAGCCACACCUUCCUCCCAACUGCAGGAAGCUGCGAUUGUUAAAAUCAGGGCAUGUUCCUGUUUAACUAAAAGGCUGAGAUCAAAUAAGCCAAAGGCCUCAGCAAUGCCAAACAAAUUCCUGCCCAAGACUCAGCAAGUCUGUGCAGCUGUAAAUGUGUGCAGUGCCCGACCUCAGCGUCCACGUGAAUGACGUCUCAACGCGUCACCCUGGGAGCAGGCAGUCAGGAGAACGUGGGCAAGUUAAUGUCACACUUACUGAGUAAUAAUGCUUAGCACAAAGGUCUUCAGUUUGCCAACCAAAUGCCCUGAAAACCAAGUGGUGAUGUUUCUCAGGUGCUGACGUGGCAUCCUGCAUUGUAUUUGAAAUGAAUGCAGUUUUGUGUAUGGGAGGACUGAAUCAAAUAGAGGUUCAAUAAUUUGGCUCAGAUUGCAUGUGGAUUCAGGGUCAAAGCUGAGAUGGAAAUUUGGGAGUUCCUAAAUCCUAAAUUUUACUCCAGCUGCGCCUCUUGCUUAAUUGUAGUCCUUAUUAUAUAGAAGUCAAUUAGAAAGACUUAACAGCCAUCUGAAACAGAAGCUGCCGGAACAGUGUGGCUUUUAGAGGAAAUUGAUAGGAAAUUAUUUAGAGGAGGUAUUUUCUUUCGUUUUUCAAAGAAAAGCAGAAAUAAAACUUUAAAGUUUUGCUUCUGUUCUCACAUGGACGUAGGCAAUGACAGAUGGGUUGUGGUCCCACAGUGCUGUCCUGUCAGCCAGACAGUCCGGAUUUCAGGAGCCCAGCUGGGUCCAUGGGGGAAUGUUCUACACAGUACAGCGUGCCGAAUUUCCUUCUGCUGCAACAAUAAUAGGAAAGUUACCGAGUCAAACGUUUAGGUUUAGCAUGUUGUUGUUUUGUUUUGCUUUUCCUGAAAGGUUUAUUGCUAUCCAGAUGAUUUUUGAUUAAUGGAUGUGAGAGGAAUGGCUUCUGGAGUGUUUGCAGUGAUUCCUGGCUGUGAUGAGCUCAGCCACCAUCUCUGUGACACACAUCUUUGCCAGCCCAGCGUGUGCACACUGCAGUCCCAUCCAACCACAGAGCAGGUUUCCUGUUUCACAUGGGGACACCGAGGCCGUGAAUGCAUGGAGGGUCGCUGCUCUCAGCCCCCAGCCCUGGAAGGCAUCUGGGAGCUGAGCUGACCAACAGACCUCACCGAGCCAUUCAUACAGCAGGAGAGCACAACAGCUCCAAGUUAGAAUGUGUACUUUGCACUUACACAACCAGAAUCGUUGGGAGACCACAAGCUUUUCCCAGACUGGAAGGUUUCUACCGAGUCAUGAAGAUGGUCGUGUUUGGGAUGGUUCAGUGGAUCCUGUGCCUUGUGUCAGCUCUGUCACCUGGGGAAGGUGGGACAGCAGCUUUGAGCUGAAAUCAUCUGCUUUGCCUCCAGAGCACAAUUUGAUAUUGGUGUUCGUAGAAAUCGUGCUGAAAGCAAUUUGCGGACUCAGUCUUGCUCCUGUUGUUUUCCUAUAUGGUAGGGUGACACACAGCAGCUCUCCUGUGCUGUUGAGGACUAGAAGAUGCCCGUGGACUGGGCAGGUCUUCAGCCGUGCCUUUGGGGGAGUAGAAUACUAAUGCAGUUCCUACAGAACAAAGAAUGGAAGCUUCCUCCUGUAAAUGCAUUUCACGGAGAUCACAAGGUGGAAAAUAUGAGGCUGUUUGAAGGGAGCUGCUUGGGGUGAGCAUAUCUCUGAGCUUCAGCACUGGGCAUUUGGUGAUUCAAUGACUGGAGGGGACAGUUGUGAUGGAGGCCACUAAAACCAACAGAGCAUUGCAAAGAAAGGGAGACAAAAGUUGUGUUAUCAAGAACACACAAGCUUGAGGAAGACCUACUACCUCCUAACAGCACAUGAAAACACCUGGUUUCCCAUUGCCGUGGACUCUUUCCUUCAAAGCGCUUCUAAUUUGUUUCCAGAUCCUCCAGCUUCUUGGCUGGUGCCAGAACAGAGCAGUGAGGGCUGGAGGGUUGUCAGCAGGACAGCAGCUGUGGAACAGUCUUUGUCUUUGGCAGCAAGUGAUGGACAGUGCUUCUGUCCCAGCAGGGAGAUUUCUACGUCACCACUAAACUGGAUACAUGUGGAAUGAUUGCUGAGCACAGAAAGAAGCAAAGAUGAACCACCUACCUGCUGAAGUCAGUGCUGCUCCAGCUUUGCUCCUUGUUGGGGCAUAUGGGUUAUGCAAGUUACUUCUGGUUGAGGUCCCAUCAUGGGCUGUUUUUCUCUAAAGUGCCCCAAUUUGUGCAGGUAAUGUAACCGCACGUCAGCUUUCACUGCUCAGCAUCAGCACUCCCUUCUGUGUUACUUCUCUGCUGUUUUUCAGAGGGAGCAGUUGGGCUGAGAACCCGCAGGGACAGCCUGCUGCAAUUUUGCAAACCCUGCCCCGUCCUGGCAGAGCGAUGCAAGGGCAGGGAGUGACCCUGAGUAAAACCCUCACUCAGAUGGACGAUGAAUACAUCUGCAGGGUGAUGUAGCAACCCAUAACUUAGGUAAGAAGCGCUUUGCAAAGGAGCAGUGCACGAAAACAAGUCUGAGCAAAAGGAAACUUAAGCCUCUUAAGUAUUAAAGUUCCAAAUUUAAACCCUUGUUUACAUAACGGUUGGGUCACUGCUGCAGAACACAGAAGUUUGCAGCCUUGCACCAAAAAAGGCUCUCAUGGAGCCAACAGCUGCUCCUGAGGGCUCAGAGCAGGUGGGGAGCAGAGCUGCAGCCAGGAGGAUGCUCAUGGGAUUCAGCUGCCCUGACAUCAAGUCUGCAGUCCCCCCAUAAAACAUCGCAGCCCUUUGGGAUGUGCCUUGUAACUUGGCAUAGCUUCAGAAAAUGGGGCAGGAAGGAAUGGGCCUGAUAUCCCAACUACUUCAGUUUGGCUCAUUGCAGGUGAUAGCACAGCAAUACAAGGCAAAUGCACAAAAUAUGGAGAAGAACUUCAUGAAGUUUCUCUGCUGCUGAGUUAUCUCGAAAAAAGCCGUCUAAGAAGCCCAGCAGAUACACCCCUACUUAUUAUUUCGUAAGAAAAGAGCACAAAAGAACUUAAUCCAAAGUAAAUAUUUAACCAAACAGCAAUUAACUAACAAUGAUGGAUUGUAAACAGCGCUGCUCCCAGGCUGAGCUGCGGCUCUCGCUCUGUUUCUCUGGGCUACAGCUGCCUUAGGGGGGGAAGGCAAGUUUACCGAGUCAGGUUUGUCUCUGCCACCUCGCUAUUAAAAGGCUCUACAAACACAAA